AUUGAACGCUGGCGGCAUGCCUUACACAUGCAAGUCGAACGGUAACGGGCCUUCGGGUGCCGACGAGUGGCGAACGGGUGAGUAAUGUAUCGGAACGUACCUUUCAGUGGGGGAUAACGUAGCGAAAGUUACGCUAAUACCGCAUAUUCUGUGAGCAGGAAAGCAGGGGAUCGCAAGACCUUGCGCUGAUUGAGCGGCUGAUGUCAGAUUAGCUAGUUGGGGAGGUAGAGGCUCACCAGGGCGACGAUCUGUAGCGGGUUCUGAGAGGAUGAUCCGCCAAACUGGAACUGAGACACGGUCCAGACUCCUACGGGAGGCAGCAGUGGGGAAUUUUGGACAAUGGGGGCAACCCUGAUCCAGCCAUGCCGCGUGAGUGAAGAAGGCCUUCGGGUUGUAAAGCUCUUUCGGCCGGGAAGAAAUCGUAUGGGUUAAUACCCUGUGCGGAUGACGGUACCGGCAUAAGAAGCACCGGCUAACUACGUGCCAGCAGCCGCCGUAAAAC
rnacentral:rRNA from 1 species